AACUUUCACAACGGAUCUCUAGAUUCUGGCAUCUAUAAAGAACGCACCAUAGUGCCAUAAGUAAUGUAAAAUGCCAAAUUCAUGGAAUCAGCAAAGCUAUGAGCGCAAAUUGCGCCCGCUGCUAUUCCGUCAGCCAUGCCUGUUCCAGCGCAUUU
rnacentral:rRNA from 1 species